AGGCCGCGGUAUAUUAACUGUGCAAAGGUAGCAUAAUCAUUAGUUUUUUAAUUGGAAACUUGUAUGAAGGGUUGGACAAAGAAAAGACUGUCUUUAUUUUUAGUUUUGAAUUUUACUUUUAAGUGAAAAGGCUUAAAUAUUUUUAAGGGACGAUAAGACCCUAUAAAUCUUUAUACUAUAUUUUGUUGGGGUGACGAGAAUAUAUAAUAAACUGUUCUAAGAAAAACAAAUAUGUUUGGAUAAUUAAUAGAUCCUUUUUAGAGAUUAAAAGUUUAAGUUACUUUAGGGAUAACAGCGUUAUUUUUUUUGAGAGUUCUUAUCGAAAAAAAAGUUUGCGACCUCGAUGUUGAAUUAAAAUUUUCUUUAUGGUGAAGGGGCUGGAAAAGAGAGAGUCUGUUCGACUUUUGAAAUUUUACGUGAUCUGAG
rnacentral:rRNA from 1 species